GAUGAACGCUGGCGGCGUGCCUAAUACAUGCAAGUCGAGCGAACGGACGAGAAGCUUGCUUCUCUGAUGUUAGCGGCGGACGGGUGAGUAACACGUGGAUAACCUACCUAUAAGACUGGGAUAACUUCGGGAAACCGGAGCUAAUACCGGAUGAUAUUUUGAACCGCAUGGUUCAAAAGUGAAAGACGGUCUUGCUGUCACUUAUAGAUGGAUCCGCGCUGCAUUAGCUAGUUGGUAAGGUAACGGCUUACCAAGGCAACGAUGCAUAGCCGACCUGAGAGAGAGAUCGGCCACACUGGAACUGAGACACGGUCCAGACGCCUACGAGAGGCAGCAGUAGGGAAUCUUCCGCAAUGGGCGAAAGCCUGACGGAGCAACGCCGCGUGAGUGAUGAAGGUCUUCGGAUCGUAAAACUCUGUUAUUAGGGAAGAACAUAUGUGUAAGUAACUGUGCACAUCUUGACGGUACCUAAUCAGAAAGCCACGGCUAACUACGUG
rnacentral:rRNA from 1 species